AUUGAAUGCCGGCGGCAGGCCUAACACAUGCAAGUCGAACGAGUGGCGGACGGGUGAGUAAUGUCUGGGAAACUGCCUGAUGGAGUGGGAUAACUACUGGAAACGGUAGCUAAUACCGCAUACCAUCAGAUGUGCCCAGAUGGGAUUAGCUAGCUGGUGGGGUAACAGCUAACCAAGGCGACGAUCCCUAGCUGGUGUGAGAGGAUGACCAGCCACGCUGGACCUGAGACACGGGCCAGAUUCCUACGGUAGUCGGCAGUGGGGAAUAUUGCACAAAGGGGGCAAACCUGAUGCAGCCAUGCCGAAUGUAGAAAGAAGGCCUUCGGGUUGUAAAGUACUUUCAGCGGAGAGGCGUUAACCGAAGAAGAAGCACCGGCUAACUCCGUGCCAGCAGCCGCGGUAAUAC
rnacentral:rRNA from 1 species